rfam:Triticum aestivum genome assembly, contig: Triticum_aestivum_CS42_TGACv1_scaffold_178680_2DS
ACUAUAUAAAAAACUUCCAAUUUUAGUGGAACUAUACAGAGAAGAUUAGCAUGGCCCCGACGCAAGGAUGACACACACGAAUUGAGAAAUGAUCCAAAUUUUU